UUGGAGGGCAAGUCUGGUGCCAGCAGCCGCGGUAAUUCCAGCUCCAAUAGCGUAUAUUAAAGUUGUUGCAGUUAGAAAGCUCGUAGUUGAAUUUCGGGGUCAGUAGAUUGGUCGUGCCACUGGUAUGUACUGGUCUUACUGGCUCCUCCUUCCUGAUGAACCGUAAUGCCAUUAAUUUGGUGUUGCGGGGAGACUGGACUGUUACUUUGAAAAAAUUAGAGUGUUUAAAGCAGGCAAUCGCUUGAAUACAUUAGCAUGGAAUAAUGAAAUAGGACGAUCGAUCCUAUUUUGUUGGUUUCUAGGAUUGACGUAAUGAUUAAUAGGGAUAGUUGGGGGCAUUAGUAUUCAAUUGUCAGAGGUGAAAUUCUUGGAUUUAUUGAAGACUAACUACUGCGAAAGCAUUUGCCAAGGAUGUUUUCAUUAAUCAAGAACGAAAGUUAGGGGAUCGAAGACGAUCAGAUACCGUCGUAGUCUUAACCAUAAACUAUGCCGACUAGGGAUCGGAUGAUGUUAAUUUUUUAAUGACUCAUUCGGCGCCUUACGGGAAA
rnacentral:rRNA from 1 species